rnacentral:piRNA from 1 species
UGCUCCUUGAGCUUGGUAGCCUGGGUUUGU